GAUGAACGCUGGCGGCGUGCCUAAUACAUGCAAGUCGAGCGAACAGACGAGGAGCUUGCUCCUCUGACGUUAGCGGCGGACGGGUGAGUAACACGUGGAUAACCUACUUAUAAGACUUGGAUAACUACGGGAAACCGGAGCUACUACCGGAUAAUAUAUUGAACCGCAUGGUUCAAUGGUGAAAGACGGUUUUGCUGUCACUUAUAGAUGGAUCCGCGCCGCAUUAGCUAGUUGGUAAGGUAACGGCUUACCAAGGCAACGAUGCGUAGCCGACCUGAGAGGGUGGUCGGCCGCACUGGAACUGCGACACGGCCGAGCAUCCUACGGGAGGCAGCAGUAGGGAAUCUUCCGGAAUGGGCGGAAGCCUGACGGAGCAACGACGCGUGAGUGAUGAAGGUCUUCUGAUCGUAAAACUCUGUUAUUAGGGAAGAACAAAUGUGUAAGUAACUAUGCACGUCUUGACGGUACCUAAUCAGAAAGCCACGGCUAACUACGUG
rnacentral:rRNA from 1 species